rnacentral:rRNA from 1 species
AGCGAACGCUGGCGGUAGGCCUAACACAUGCAAGUCGAACGGCAGCACAGUAAGAGUUUGCUCUUACGGGUGGCGAGUGGCGGACGGGUGAGGAAUACAUCGGAACCUACUUUUUUGUGGGGGAUAACGUCGGGAAACUUACGCUAAUACCGCAUACGACGUACGGGUGCAAGAAGGGGAUCUUCGGAGCUUGCGCGAUUGAGUGAGCCGAUGUCGGAUUAGCUAGUUGGCGGGGUAAAGGCCCACCAAGGCGAGGAUCAGUAGCUGGUCUGAGAGGAUGGUCAGCCACACUGGAACUGAGACACGGUCAAGACGCCUACGGGAGGCAGCAGUGGGGGAUGUUAGACGAUGGGCGCGAGCAUGAUCCAGCCAUAGCGCGUGAGUGAAGAAGGCCUUCGGGUUGUAGAGACCUUUUGUUGGGAAAGAAAAGCAGCAGGUUAAUUCUCCGCGGUUCUGACGGUAACCGAAAAAUAAGCACCGGGCAACUUCGUG